rnacentral:rRNA from 1 species
GAUGAACGCUGGCGGCGUGCCUAAUACAUGCAAGUCGAGCGAACGGACGAGAAGCUUGCUUCUCUGAUGUUAGCGGCGGACGGGUGAGUAACACGUGGAUAACCUACCUAUAAGACUGGGAUAACUUCGGGAAACCGGAGCUAAUACCGGAUAAUAUUUUGAACCGCAUGGUUCAAAAGUGAAAGACGGUCUUGCUGUCACUUAUAGAUGGAUCCGCGCUGCAUUAGCUAGUUGGUAAGGUAACGGCUUACCAAGGCAACGAUGCAUAGCCGACCUGAGAGGGUGAUCGGCCACACUGGAACUGAGACACGGUCCAGACUCCUACGGGAGGCAGCAGCAGGGAAUCUUCCGCAAUGGGCGAAAGCCUGACGGAGCAACGCCGCGUGAGUGAUGAAGGUCUUCGGAUCGUAAAACUCUGUUAUUAGGGAAGAACAUAUGUGUAAGUAACUGUGCACAUCUUGACGGUACCUAAUCAGAAAGCCACGGCUAACUACGUGCCAGCAGCCGCGGUAAUACGUAGGUGGCAAGCGUUAUCCGGAAUUAUUGGGCGUAAAGCGCGCGUAGGCGGUUUUUUAAGUCUGAUGUGAAAGCCCACGGCUCAACCGUGGAGGGUCAUUGGAAACUGGAAAACUUGAGUGCAGAAGAGGAAAGUGGAAUUCCAUGUGUAGCGGUGAAAUGCGCAGAGAUAUGGAGGAACACCAGUGGCGAAGGCGACUUUCUGGUCUGUAACUGACGCUGAUGUGCGAAAGCGUGGGGAUCAAACAGGAUUAGAUACCCUGGUAGUCCACGCCGUAAACGAUGAGUGCUAAGUGUUAGGGGGUUUCCGCCCCUUAGUGCUGCAGCUAACGCAUUAAGCACUCCGCCUGGGGAGUACGACCGCAAGGUUGAAACUCAAAGGAAUUGACGGGGACCCGCACAAGCGGUGGAGCAUGUGGUUUAAUUCGAAGCAACGCGAAGAACCUUACCAAAUCUUGACAUCCUUUGACAACUCUAGAGAUAGAGCUUUCCCCUUCGGGGGACAAAGUGACAGGUGGUGCAUGGUUGUCGUCAGCUCGUGUCGUGAGAUGUUGGGUUAAGUCCCGCAACGAGCGCAACCCUUAAGCUUAGUUGCCAUCAUUAAGUUGGGCACUCUAAGUUGACUGCCGGUGACAAACCGGAGGAAGGUGGGGAUGACGUCAAAUCAUCAUGCCCCUUAUGAUUUGGGCUACACACGUGCUACAAUGGACAAUACAAAGGGCAGCGAAACCGCGAGGUCAAGCAAAUCCCAUAAAGUUGUUCUCAGUUCGGAUUGUAGUCUGCAACUCGACUACAUGAAGCUGGAAUCGCUAGUAAUCGUAGAUCAGCAUGCUACGGUGAAUACGUUCCCGGGUCU